rnacentral:sRNA from 1 species
AGUAACACUCUGGGAGGGCUCAAACCACAUAACCAACUGUGCCAAGAUAAUCCUGAGCUCACUAUUGUCAGUCCUGAAGAUUUUCCUCACAGAAUCUUUCAUCUCUUUGUUCCUGAGACUAUAUAUUAGAGGAUUACAGAGUGGUGUUAUCACAGAAUAGAACAAG